rnacentral:rRNA from 1 species
UAGGGAAUCUUCCGCAAUGGACGAAAGUCUGACGGAGCAACGCCGCGUGAGUGAAGAAGGAUUUCGGUUCGUAAAACUCUGUUGUUAGGGAAGAAAAAAUGUAUAGUAACUAUAUACAAAAGAGACGGUACCUAACCAGAAAGCCACGGCUAACUACGUGCCAGCAGCCGCGGUAAUACGUAGGUGGCAAGCGUUGUCCGGAAUUAUUGGGCGUAAAGCGCGCGCAGGUGGUUUAGAAAGUCUGAUGUGAAAGCCCACGGCUCAACCGUGGAGGGUCAUUGGAAACUAAUAAACUUGAGUGCAGGAGAGAAAAGUGGAAUUCCUAGUGUAGCGGUGAAAUGCGUAGAGAUUAGGAGGAACACCGGUGGCGAAAGCGACUUUCUGGACGAAAACUGACGCUGAGGCGCGAAAGCGUGGGGAGCAAACAGG